UACGUAGGUGGCAAGCGUUGUCCGGAGUUAUUGGGCGUAAAGCGCGCGCAGGCGGUGCGGUAAGUCUAUGGUGAAAGCGCUCGGCUUAACUGGGCGAGGGCCGUGGAGACUGCCGGACUGGAGGGAGCAGAGGCGAGUGGAAUUCCGGGUGUAGUGGUGAAAUGCGUAGAGAUCCGGAGGAACACCAGUGGCGAAGGCGGCUCG
rnacentral:rRNA from 1 species